CUUAGCUAAUUUGUUUCUGAUAUGUUAUUUUCCUUUUUAUAUUGACACAUGCACACACGGAUAAUACACAUGCACACACGGAUAUAUAUUAUCAAGUCUCACAGGCUGUUGAACCAUAUAUAAGGUAUGGUUCUAAAUAAUAGCUUUCUGCAGUAGAAAAUGUGGAGAAAUAACCCCGCAUACUGGAGCCAAGGAAUCAGUCUCUGUGCUCACGUUGCCGGACAUGUUUGAGGAGCAAAGAAGCAUUCUAAUCUGGUUGCGAAUCUUUUCCAGCAGAGCAAAGAGACGAAGGUAUGCGGUAGUAUAUUAAAAUUUGAAUUUUGCUUUUCGCUUUUUCCCCUUUGUAAAAUGUAUGGUUAGGAUUUUGUUUGUUUAUCAAUGAAAAUAGUUGAGUUUUGCUGAACUUAUUGUCUGAUGUACGAUGGCGGUUGAUAAUAUUGGGUUUGCACAUUCACAUAAAAAGGUUUGCCUAUGCUACGUAAAUUAUUAUUAAUAUUGAAGCUAAUAUAAAAUGUUUGAUAUGGUAGGAUAUCUGUAUUGUUGUAUCUACUGUACAAAUAUCUUUUUUUCAAUGUUUUGUACAAAUAUCUUACUUUAGAAGUCCUUCUCUGUAUUGUCGUACCUACUGUAUAAAUAUAUAUAUUUUUUUUAGGCAAGUGUAUUGUACAAAUAUCUCACUUUAAAGUCCAGGGAUGUAAACCAUGCUCAUCACUGUAUACUCUAUUUGGUUUAUGGUCCCAUUAUGAUUCAGUUAGCCUUUGUUUCUGUUUGACCAGAUGAAACCAGCCAUUCUAAUAAAUUGGACCUCCUGUUCUCCAUCAAUAGUAAAACAGUUGAAAUAUGCAAUGCCAGAGUAAUCCAAAUUUACCUGACUGUAAGACUAGAAAAAUUUGCAUAUGUUGUGUGCUCUGUUGAUGUGCAAACUUCACCAAAUGUGUCCUGCUUCCUUAACUCAGUAUUAAUUCUUAAAAAAUAUUCAAGCACAUGAUUGCUGGUAUAGGUGAAAUUUAGUGAAAGCUUUGUCUAUUGGAUAAGAGAUAUUUAAAGUGUGUUAAAAUUUUAAUACAAUUGGCUUCUGAAAUAUGGUGGUUGGACUUGUAGGAUCUUUGACCUCUUUUUCCGAUGUGGCAUAAUGUAUGAAUUUUAGUAAUUGCUCAAGUGAUGCUUAUUGUAAUUUCUAGUUUAUUACCAGCUAUAAAUUGUGGCAUAAUGUAUGAAUUAUUACCAUCUUUUUCCGAUAUGGCAUAAUGUAUGAAUUUUAGUAAAUGCUCAAGUGAUGCUUAUUGUAAUUUCUAGUUUAUUACUAGCUAUAAAUUGUGGAACAUCAUUCAAUAUUCGGCAUUGUGACACUGUAAUAAGAAGUGUUGCCAGAUGAGGGUGCUUUUGUUGCAAUGAAAGAGAGUCUGGGCUUCUCUCAAACCAGUAUUGGUCAUGUUGUCACCAGGUGAGCUGGAGGACAGUAGUUGCGCAUGGAGACAUGUAAAUUAUGUAAUAACAUUGAUGUUGCGUGGCUUGUGCCACAUAUCCUUUUGUCAUCAUUGUUGGAUUUGUAUGUUGGAGUUUGAGUGGUACUCGAAAUAUUUUUUGGAGCAGAUUAAAUGUUUCCUUUUGUGAUGGUACUGAUUAUCUAACUAGAGUAAAUUCUUACACUUAAGUGAAGUUAUAGGUGGUACUAUCACAUUCUUUGAUUCUAGUCUUUUUGCACACUACUCAUUCUUGCUUGCUUACUGCGAUAUACAUUAAAGUAGGGGAAUCAUAAACCAAAAAAUUCAACUCUCUUUUGCAGGCCCUAACUCAUUUUUCUUGGAUGUUGCAUAAUUUGUUGAUUCAGGUGAUGUUGUGUCCGUAAGUAUUUACCAUUGGAGUGUGUUGUAAGUUGUUUUCUUCCUGAUUGUUAAGUUUCAAAGGCCAAAAAAAUUGUCAAACAAGCAUCAUAUCUAGAAAAUGCAGGUAAAUUUAAUUUCCGAGCACCAUGAUUGGAUGUCUUUUGUUAGAGAUUGAGUUUUGGUUGAUGAUGAGGUGCUUAAAAAUCUAUAUAAUUUGUGUGUGCUCUGAAUGGGGAAAAAAAAAACUUUCUGCCAAUGUUUAGUGGAAACAGGGAAAAAGAAUUAGUGGAGAGAAGCCACAAAAGUUUAACUAAUUAGAGUUCUACUGUGCCACAAAUCCUAGAUUGAAGAGUGAUGAGUGAUGGAACAACCAACCACCACUGCAAUUCAACCUAAACACCCAUACAAGGGCUAAAAAGGGCAAAUAACACAACCCACAAGGGGAGGUCAAUUAACUCCACUUUUUGUCUCUCUGCAGAACAAUGUCAGAAGUUUGCAGCAGUAUUUAAACACCCUGGUACCGUAUUUGUGAAUACAUACAUGUAAGCCAUUGGAGGGAAGCUUCAUUCAUUGCAACUGGUGGAAGAGAGUCAGUGAUUGCCAUUUAAUACAAGGCGUUAUAUUUUAUGUGGCGAAGGGCAGUUUUGACUUUUUAGUGCAAGUGUGCAACUAGCCAAAAGUGGUGUCGAUCUUUACUUAAAACCAAGUUAUCCUUCUAUGCAAACCUUGGUUAUCAAUAUUGAUAUUAACUGAGGGGUAUUACAUGAAAUUAUUAACUAAUGUAUGAUUGUACUUGUUUAAUCACGAAAUAGUGGGUCCAGGUAUUCUCAAGUGUUAGCAUAAAAAUCUUAAAAGGUCAAAAAAUGUUAAUUAUAGUUUUGAGAGCAUUAAAACCAGAAGUCAUUAGAAGGUGGUUAAAUGUUUUGCCAUUUAGAUGAUACUUUUCUAAUCCUCAUGUACUCCAUUCUCUUUUUAUUGUGUGUUUGACAGGUUAAAUUGGCAAAGCUGACUCAGGCCACUCGGCUCAAAAAUCAUUCCUCUCGUGACAUACUUGUUAGACAUUUUAAUUACAAGAAUUUUUUAUGACAUUGUUACACUUGCGCUGUAGCGAAAUCUUGUAAUUAAAUGGGUAAGGUCUGAAUGUCUGAUGCUACAUUGUAUCACCUGAUUUAUUUAUUUUUAUAAAGUCCCGUUUAAUCUCCCUCAUGUUGGUGCAGACAUGCUUCAAUAGACCAUAGAAUACAAGAAGUGCUCAUCUACAACAAAAUUAGUCACAC